rnacentral:rRNA from 1 species
AGUAACGCGUGAGUAACCUGCCCUUCAGAGGGGGAUAACGUUCUGAAAAGAACGCUAAUACCGCAUGAGACUACAGAGCUGCAUGGCUCAGUGGUCAAAGGAGCAAUCCGCUGAAAGAUGGACUCGCGUCCGAUUAGAUAGUAGGCGGGGUAACGGCCCACCUAGUCGACGAUCGGUAGCCGGACUGAGAGGUUGAACGGCCACAUUGGGACUGAGACACGGCCCAGACUCCUACGGGAGGCAGCAUG